UGGGGAAUUUUGGACAAUGGGCGCAAGCCUGAUCCAGCCAUUCCGCGUGCAGGACGAAGGCCUUCGGGUUGUAAACUGCUUUUGUACGGAACGAAAAAGCCUCGGUUAAUACCCGGGGUCCAUGACGGUACCGUAAGAAUAAGCACCGGCUAACUACGUG
rnacentral:rRNA from 1 species